rnacentral:misc_RNA from 1 species
GCAAACUUGGUCAUUUAGAGGAAGUAAAAGUCGUAACAAGGUUUCCGUAGGUGAACCUGCGGAAGGAUCAUUACUGAAGUGAUUUGGGGAUGUUGCUGGCCACCUCAAAAAGGGGGCAUUGUGCACUCCUUGAAACAAUUCAUGAUUUCCAUCACACCCCUUGUGCACAUCUUGUAGGCACCCCAAACUCACCUUCACGGGUGGCGGGGUCCUAUGUAUUCCUUCAUCACACACUUUGUUGAAUGGUGCCAUUGGAACGCAUCUAAAGGAUUAUUAUAUGUAAUCAUAGAAACAACUUUCAACAAUGGAUCUCUUGGCUCUCGCAUCGAUGAAGAACGCAGC